rnacentral:rRNA from 1 species
CAGUCGAGCGAGCUUGCCUAGAUGAUUUUAGUGCUUGCACUAAAUGAAACUAGAUACAAGCGAGCGGCGGACGGGUGAGUAACACGUGGGUAACCUGCCCAAGAGACUGGGAUAACACCUGGAAACAGAUGCUAAUACCGGAUAACAACACUAGACGCAUGUCUAGAGUUUGAAAGAUGGUUCUGCUAUCACUCUUGGAUGGACCUGCGGUGCAUUAGCUAGUUGGUAAGGUAACGGCUUACCAAGGCAAUGAUGCAUAGCCGAGUUGAGAGACUGAUCGGCCACAUUGGGACUGAGACACGGCCCAAACUCCUACGGGAGGCAGCAGUAGGGAAUCUUCCACAAUGGACGAAAGUCUGAUGGAGCAACGCCGCGUGAGUGAAGAAGGGUUUCGGCUCGUAAAGCUCUGUUGGUAGUGAAGAAAGAUAGAGGUAGUAACUGGCCUUUAUUUGACGGUAAUUACUUAGAAAGUCACGGCUAACUACGUGCCAGCAGCCGCGGUAAUACGUAGGUGGCAAGCGUUGUCCGGAUUUAUUGGGCGUAAAGCGAGUGCAGGCGGUUCAAUAAGUCUGAUGUGAAAGCCUUCGGCUCAACCGGAGAAUUGCAUCAGAAACUGUUGAACUUGAGUGCAGAAGAGGAGAGUGGAACUCCAUGUGUAGCGGUGGAAUGCGUAGAUAUAUGGAAGAACACCAGUGGCGAAGGCGGCUCUCUGGUCUGCAACUGACGCUGAGGCUCGAAAGCAUGGGUAGCGAACAG